rnacentral:rRNA from 1 species
UUAAGCGACUAAGCGUACACGGUGGAUGCCCUGGCAGUCAGAGGCGAUGAAGGACGUGCUAAUCUGCGAAAAGCGCCGGCGAGGUGAUAUGAACCUUUGACCCGGCGAUGUCCGAAUGGGGAAACCCAGUGCAAUCCGUUGCACUAUCGUUAACUGAAUACAUAGGUUAACGAGGCGAACCGGGGGAACUGAAACAUCUAAGUACCCCGAGGAAAAGAAAUCAACCGAGAUUCCCCCAGUAGCGGCGAGCGAACGGGGAGCAGCCCGGAGUCUGAAUCAGCUUGUGUGUUAGUGGAACGGUCUGGAAAGUCCGACGGUACAGGGUGAUAGUCCCGUACACGAAAGCACACUUGCUGUGAACUCGAAGAGUAGGGCGGGACACGUGGUAUCCUGUCUGAAUAUGGGGGGACCAUCCUCCAAGGCUAAAUACUCCUGACUGACCGAUAGUGAACCAGUACCGUGAGGGAAAGGCGAAAAGAACCCCGGCGAGGGGAGUGAAAAAGAACCUGAAACCGUGUACGUACAAGCAGUGGGAGCCUCUUUAUGGGGUGACUGCGUACCUUUUGUAUAAUGGGUCAGCGACUUAUAUUCUGUAGCAAGGUUAACCGUAUAGGGGAGCCGAAGGGAAACCGAGUCUUAACUGGGCGUUAAGUUGCAGGGUAUAGACCCGAAACCCGGUGAUCUAGCCAUGGGCAGGUUGAAGGUUGGGUAACACUAACUGGAGGACCGAACCGACUAAUGUUGAAAAAUUAGCGGAUGACCUGUGGCUGGGGGUGAAAGGCCAAUCAAACCGGGAGAUAGCUGGUUCUCCCCGAAAGCUAUUUAGGUAGCGCCUCGUGAACUCAUCUUCGGGGGUAGAGCACUGUUUCGGCUAGGGGGCCAUCCCGGCUUACCAACCCGAUGCAAACUACGAAUACCGAAGAAUGUUAUCACGGGAGACACACGGCGGGUGCUAACGUCCGUCGUGAAGAGGGAAACAACCCAGACCGCCAGCUAAGGUCCCAAAGUCAUGGUUAAGUGGGAAACGAUGUGGGAAGGCACAGACAGCCAGGAUGUUGGCUUAGAAGCAGCCAUCAUUUAAAGAAAGCGUAAUAGCUCACUGGUCGAGUCGGCCUGCGCGGAAGAUGUAACGGGGCUAAACCAUGCACCGAAGCUGCGGCAGCGACGCUUAUGCGUUGUUGGGUAGGGGAGCGUUCUGUAAGCCGUUGAAGGUGUNNNNNNNNNNNNNNNNNNNNNNNNNNNNNNNNNNNNNNNNNNNNNNNUUAACGCUGAGGUGUGAUGACGAGGCACUACGGUGCUGAAGUGAUAAAUGCCCUGCUUCCAGGAAAAGCCUCUAAGCAUCAGGUAACACGAAAUCGUACCCCAAACCGACACAGGUGGUCAGGUAGAGAAUACCAAGGCGCUUGAGAGAACUCGGGUGAAGGAACUAGGCAAAAUGGUGCCGUAACUUCGGGAGAAGGCACGCUGAUAUGUAGGUGAAGUCCCUGCGGACGGAGCUGAAAUCAGUCGAAGAUACCAGCUGGCUGCAACUGUUUAUUAAAAACACAGCACUGUGCAAACACGAAAGUGGACGUAUACGGUGUGACGCCUGCCCGGUGCCGGAAGGUUAAUUGAUGGGGUUAGCGGCAACGCGAAGCUCUUGAUCGAAGCCCCGGUAAACGGCGGCCGUAACUAUAACGGUCCUAAGGUAGCGAAAUUCCUUGUCGGGUAAGUUCCGACCUGCACGAAUGGCGUAAUGAUGGCCAGGCUGUCUCCACCCGAGACUCAGUGAAAUUGAACUCGCUGUGAAGAUGCAGUGUACCCGCGGCAAGACGGAAAGACCCCGUGAACCUUUACUAUAGCUUGACACUGAACACUGGUCCUUGAUGUGUAGGAUAGGUGGGAGGCUUUGAAGCGUGGACGCCAGUCUGCGUGGAGCCAACCUUGAAAUACCACCCUUUAAUGGCUGGUGUUCUAACGUAGACCCGUAAUCCGGGUUGCGGACAGUGUCUGGUGGGUAGUUUGACUGGGGCGGUCUCCUCCCAAAGAGUAACGGAGGAGCACGAAGGUUGGCUAAUCCUGGUCGGACAUCAGGAGGUUAGUGCAAUGGCAUAAGCCAGCUUGACUGCGAGCGUGACGGCGCGAGCAGGUGCGAAAGCAGGUCAUAGUGAUCCGGUGGUUCUGAAUGGAAGGGCCAUCGCUCAACGGAUAAAAGGUACUCCGGGGAUAACAGGCUGAUACCGCCCAAGAGUUCAUAUCGACGGCGGUGUUUGGCACCUCGAUGUCGGCUCAUCACAUCCUGGGGCUGAAGUAGGUCCCAAGGGUAUGGCUGUUCGCCAUUUAAAGUGGUACGCGAGCUGGGUUUAGAACGUCGUGAGACAGUUCGGUCCCUAUCUGCCGUGGGCGCUGGAGAAUUGAGGGGGGCUGCUCCUAGUACGAGAGGACCGGAGUGGACGCAUCACUGGUGUUCGGGUUGUCAUGCCAAUGGCACUGCCCGGUAGCUAAAUGCGGAAGAGAUAAGUGCUGAAAGCAUCUAAGCACGAAACUUGCCCCGAGAUGAGUUCUCCCUGAGACUUUAAGUCUCCUGAAGGAACGUUGAAGACGACGACGUUGAUAGGUCGGGUGUGUAAGCGCAGCGAUGCGUUGAGCUAACCGAUACUAAUGAACCGUGAGGCUUAACCUU